GUGUGUGUGUGUGUGUGUGUGUGUGUGUGUGUGUGUGUGUGUGUGUGUGUGUGUGUGUGUGUGUGUGUGUGUGUGUGUGUGUGUGUGUGUGUGCGCGCGUGUGUGUGCGUGUGUGUGCCUCAGGGGGCAGCUGGAUCAGACAAUGCGGAGGUGGGACCAAAAGGAGAACCAGGAAACGCUGGUAUGCCGGGCAGUCCAGGGGAGGAUGGCGCCAAAAGGGAGAGUGGAAUCGAGGAAAACAGGGGACCCAAAGGAAGACGAGGACCCAUGGGAGAAAAUGUCUGAACAUUGCAGUUGAUGGUGGUUGACACGGUUUGUGUGUCGCCAUUCAAACAGG